GCAUGGUUGUCGUCAGCUCGUGUCGUGAGAUGUUGGGUUAAGUCCCGCAACGAGCGCAACCCCUAUUGUUAGUUGCCAUCAUUCAGUUGGGCACUCUAGCGAGACUGCCGGUAAUAAACCGGAGGAAGGUGGGGAUGACGUCAAAUCAUCAUGCCCCUUAUGACCUGGGCUACACACGUGCUACAAUGGUUGGUACAACGAGUUGCGAGUCGGUGACGGCGAGCUAAUCUCUUAAAGCCAAUCUCAGUUCGGAUUGUAGGCUGCAACUCGCCUACAUGAAGUCGGAAUCGCUAGUAAUCGCGGAUCAGCACGCCCGCGGUCGAAUACGUUCCCGGGCCUU
rnacentral:rRNA from 1 species